rnacentral:pre_miRNA from 1 species
AGAGGAGUUGUUGGGUCAUAUGGUAAAUCUGUGUUUGCAUUUUGAGCAACUGCCAAACUGCUUUCUAAAGUGACUGCACCAUUUUACAUACCCACCAGCAAU